AUGCACGCUGGCGGCGUGCCUAAUACAUGCAAGUCGAGCGAACAGAUGAGGAGCUUGCUCCUCUGACGUUAGCGGCGGACGGGUGAGUAACACGUGGAUAACCUACCUAUAAGACUGGGAUAACUUCGGGAAACCGGAGCUAAUACCGGAUAAUAUAUUGAACCGCAUGGUUCAAUAGUGAAAGACGGUUUUGCUGUCACUUAUAGAUGGAUCCGCGCCGCAUUAGCUAGUUGGUAAGGUAACGGCUUACCAAGGCAACGAUGCGUAGCCGACCUGAGAGGGGGAUCGGCCACACGGAAACUGAGACACGGCCCAGACCCCGACGGGGGGAAGGAGGAGGGAAGUUUCCGCAAGGGGCGAAAGCCUGACGGAGAAACGCGGGGGGAGGAAGGAAGGCUUUCGGUUCGUAAAACUCUUUUAUUGGGGAAGAAAAAAGGGGUAAGUAAAGUUGCACGUUUUGCGGGUACCAAAUAAAAAAACCCCGGUAAAAUACGG
rnacentral:rRNA from 1 species